rnacentral:lncRNA from 1 species
AUCUCCCUAUCUCACCACCUUUUCUCUAUCCGUCUCUUCCUUUCCUUUUUGUCUUACGUGGCUAAUGGGGGGAUAGGAUGAGAAGAGAGGAGAUAAUUAAUGCCUUUAUCAUUUUUAUAUGAUCACCUCCUCUCCAUGGCUGUCUUCUUAUAUUAUUAUUAUUUUUAUCCUAUUGUGAUAUCUCAUGGGAGAAAGAAACGAGUGGGAAAAAAGCCAUUUAAUGCUCCUCGUCAGAUCCAUAUAACCCAGGGGCAGAUACUCAAGCAUGUGCAUGAUGGAUAGCAUGAUCCAAAGGCCCUCUGCCUCAUGUCUUUGAUCGAUACAGGUAUACCC